UUUUUAUUGGCCAUGUGACUUGUUUGGCCAAUGAUAUAUGAACAGAAGUGCCAUCAACACAGGAUGAAAAUAUCCUGGCUGACAGAACAGAAGAAGAGAGACCAGACCAUACCAGCCAUCUCACAGACUUGCAGUGAGAAGCAAAGCUAUUCCAAUUAAAAAUUAGGCUUCAACAAGUCAAGCUCCAGCCAAUCCAGAAACAUAUAGUGGCAACGCACAGGAGGUCUGAAAGUAGAUUGUCUGGGUUCAAAGAUGAUCUCUGCCAAUUGCCAGAUGUGUGAUCUUGGAUUUUUUAGCCUGCCACUCUUGAGCAGAGUACUGCCAUCCAAUUUGACUGCCCAACCUCUCCACCACCUGUGAAACACAAAUAACAGCAUUUCCUUUUCCAGGUGAGACUCAUCUUAGACCCAGUCAACCUGAGCUGAGAAAGACAAAGAAUAGACAACUUACAACUGUGAUUCAGUUUGUAGAAGAAGAGAAACACACUAUUUCUACUAUUUUUAUUUUUUAAGGGAAUAGCGGAAGAAAUUUACAUGGCUAAAGAGGACCAACGAUGAAAUUACUUUUAAAAGAACAGAGAAUGCUGGGAGCAGUGGCUCACACCUGUAAUCCCAGCACUUUGGGAGG
rnacentral:lncRNA from 1 species